UACGGAGGGGGCAAGCGUUGUUCGGAAUUACUGGGCGUAAAGGGCGCGUAGGCGGCCUGCUAAGUCGAACGUGAAAUCCCUGGGCUCAACCCAGGAACUGCGUCCGAUACUGGUUGGCUUGAAUCCGGGAGAGGGAUGUGGAAUUCCAGGUGUAGCGGUGAAAUGCGUAGAUAUCUGGAGGAAUACCGGUGGCGAAGGCGGCAUCCUGGACCGGCAUUGACGCUGAGGCGCGAAAGCCAGGGGAGCAAACGGG
rnacentral:rRNA from 1 species